rnacentral:rRNA from 1 species
UACGUAGGGGGCAAGCGUUAUCCGGAUUUACUGGGUGUAAAGGGAGCGUAGACGGCUUUGCAAGCCAGAUGUGAAAGCCCGGGGCUCAACCCCGGGACUGCAUUUGGAACUGUGUGGCUAGAGUGUCGGAGAGGCAGGCGGAAUUCCUAGUGUAGCGGUGAAAUGCGUAGAUAUUAGGAGGAACCCCAGUGGCGAAGGCGGCCUGCUGGACGAUGACUGACGUUGAGGCUCGAAAGCGUGGGGAGCAAACAGG